rnacentral:lncRNA from 10 species
CCAACGUCUGAAAGCCAACUCUUCAAUCAUUUCUCAGAGGGAAGAGCCCUGGGGACAAGGCCAGGGCUAAGAGGGACGAGAGAGCCAGGAAAGUCCAGGCCAAGGGUGCCUCUUGAACCUUGUGGCUGAGGGGAGCAGGCUGUUGGGAUGAUCAGCAGACAUGGAAAGUCCUUCCAGCUCUACCCCUGUGUAUUUCCCAGCGAAUGCUCUCGGAUUUUAGGACUUACCUCCUAAAAUUUUCACUUGGUCUAAAGCAAAAGGCCCCAGGCUUUCUGUCAGGAGCUGCAACUUUUCAUCUGAUGAGGAGAUGAAGAGAUGGCACAUCAGAGAAAAGUGACAAAGGUGGCAAAGGUGUGGAGUGGUGCGACUGGCAUUUCCAUUCCAGAGUGCAUCACUUCAAACCUUACAUUCCUGAGGCUGUUCGUCGAAGGCUUCUCACAUCUAAACUGCAGUUCAUUUAUUGCAGAGCCCUGUUCACAUGGGUUCUCAGAGACAUUUUCAUUCUCGCUUCUCACCACGCUGGAGAUGAGAACUAGAUGUGGUUUUCUAGAUACAGUCUACAUUUCCCUUUGAAUCUGGAAGUCCGGCUUCAAGCCCCUUUGAAGAGGCAGGCCCAUGGGAUGAAUUCUGACCAAUGGAUUUGGCUAAGAUUUAAGAGCCAGUGCACCAUCCUUCAGCUAACUCUUCUCUCCACCUGCUGCAAGGACAUAAACAUUUCAAUGGCACAAAGAUAGAGCACCUUGAAUUGUUACUGCAAAGAAGACAUCUUUUCUGGAGAGUCACCCAAGCAGUGGAUUUGUGAAUAAAUAAAUCUUGUGUUAAGGUUCUGAUAUUUUGUGGUUAAUUUGUGACCAUAGUACUACAUAGCCUAUUCUAAUGAAUAUGUAGUGACUAUCAGAAUCACUAGAGAACAUACAAACAUAAUUCAUAUUAUAGGUCAAAACUUCAGU